rnacentral:rRNA from 1 species
GAUGAACGCUGGCGGUCUGCUUAACACAUGCAAGUCGAACGAACUCUUCGGGGUGAGCGGCGGACGGGUUAGUAACGCGUGGGAAUAUGCCCAAAGGUAGGGAAUAGCCUCUGGAAACGGAGAGUAAUACCCUAUGUGCCCUUCGGGGAAAGAUUUAUCGCCUUUGGAUUAGCCCGCGUUAGAUUAGGUAGUUGGUGGGGUAAUGGCCUACCAAGCCUACGAUCUAUAGCUGGUUUUAGAGGAUGAUCAGCAACACUGGGACUGAGACACGGCCCAGACUCCUACGGAGGCAGCAGUGGGGAAUCUUGGACAAUGGGGCAACCCUGAUCCAGCCAUGCCGCGUGAGUGAUGAAGGCCCUAGGGUCGUAAAGUUCUUUCGCCUGUGAAGAUAAUGAC